UUCAAGAGUACGUGAAACCGCCCAGAGGCAAACGGGUGGAUCCGCAAAGUCGGCCUGCGGAAUUCAGCGCAGCGCGCGGCUCGGGGCUGCUGCGGUUCGGGAUCCCUAGGACCCGGCCGUGGUGCCGCGCCGGGCUCCGCUGCGUGCACUUUCCGCAGGCAGAGCGCCACAACCGGUUUCGCGGGCGGCCAUAAGCCCGGCGGGAAGGUAGGUAUGGGACGGCAACGCUCUCGUACUGUUACAGCCCGCCUGGGCGAGCCGCCUCGGGACCGAGGGACUACCGCGCGCUUCGAGGCUACCCGGCCUUCCGGGGGAGUUNGACUGGGAGAGACUGGGCAACCGUGUCUUCCGACCGCUCUCCUGCGACCGGACCGGGCUAGCCGGGCGUGCUCUGUGGGUUAGUGGCGAGUCUGUCGGCCUUCCACCCGACCCGUCUUGAAACACGGACCAAGGAGUCUAACAUGCGCGCGAGUCAUUGGGCUGUACGAAACCCAAAGGCGCAGUGAAAGCGAGGGUCGCCUCGGGCUGACCCAGGUGGGAUCUCUCUGGCCCUCGGGCCGGGGAGCGCACCACCGGCCCGUCCCGUCUGCGUCGGCAGUGGGGCGGAGCAGGAGCGUGCACGCUGGGACCCGAAAGAUGGUGAACUAUGCCUGAGUAGAACGAAGCCAGAGCA
rnacentral:rRNA from 1 species